GACCGGAGUGGACGCAUCACUGGUGUUCGGGUUGUCAUGCCAAUGGCACUGCCCGGUAGCUAAAUGCGGAAGAGAUAAGUGCUGAAAGCAUCUAAGCACGAAACUUGCCCCGAGAUGAGUUCUCCCUGACCCUUUAAGGGUCCUGAAGGAACGUUGAAGACGACGACGUUGAUAGGCCGGGUGUGUAAGCGCAGCGAUGCGUUGAGCUAACCGGUACUAAUGAACCGUGAGGCUUAACCUUACAACGCCGAAGGUGUUUUGGCGGAUGAGAGAAGAUUUUCGGCCUGAUACAGAUUAAAUCAGAACGCAGAAGCGGUCUGAUAAAACAGAAUUUGCCUGGCGGCCUUAGCGCGGUGGUCCCACCUGACCCCAUGCCGAACUCAGAAGUGAAACGCCGUAGCGCCGAUGGUAGUGUGGGGUCUCCCCAUGCGAGAGUAGGGAACUGCCAGGCAUCAAAUUAAGCGAAAGGCCAUCCGUCAGGAUGGCCUUUUUGCGUUGGUGAAAAAAAUGCCUGAUGCGACGCUGCGCGUCUUAUACUCCCACAUAUGCCAGAUUCAGCAACGGAUACGGUUUCCCCAACUUGCCUACUUCCAUACGUGUCCUCCUUACCAGAAAUUUAUCCUUAAGCUCCUCAAUAACCAUUUUCCUGCUAACUAAAUUCAUGGUUAAGGUUGCAUAAUGAUACGUAACAAAUGUAUAACAUUUUCUUUGCCAAAAGAAAUAAAC
rnacentral:rRNA from 1 species